CAUUGAUGUUGCAAAUGCUUUGGAGUACCUUCAUUUCUAUUGUGAUCCUCCACUGUACCAUGGAGACAUAAAGCCUAGCAAUGUCCUCUUGGACAAGAAUUACCUCGCGAAGCUUGCUGGGUGUGGCCAUG